rnacentral:rRNA from 1 species
GACGAACGCUGGCGGCGUGCUUAACACAUGCAAGUCGAGCGGUAAGGCCCUUUCGGGGGUACACGAGCGGCGAACGGGUGAGUAACACGUGGGUUACCUGCCCUCAGCUCUGGGAUAAGCCUGGGAAACCGGGUCUAAUACUGGAUAUGACUCCAUGACGCAUGUUGUGGGGUGGAAAGCCUUGUGCGGCUGAGGAUGGGCCCGCGGCCUAUCAGCUUGUUGGUGGGGUGANGGCCUACCAAGGCGACGACGGGUAGCCGGCCUGAGAGGGCGACCGGCCACACUGGGACUGAGACACGGCCCAGACUCCUACGGGAGGCAGCAGUGGGGAAUCUUGCGCAAUGGGCGAAAGCCUGACGCAGCGACGCCGCGUGAGGGAUGACGGCCU